GGUUAAGUGGCGCAAUAGGUUAGCGCGUCCGACUGUUUAAUCGGAGGUUAUGGGGUCGAUCCCCAUCUGACCG
rnacentral:tRNA from 1 species